CAGUCGCCACGGGAAUACAGAGGGUGCAAGCGUUAAUCGGAAUUACUGGGCGUAAAGCGCGCGUAGGUGGUUCGCCAAGUUGGAUGUGAAAUCCCCGGGCUCAACCUGGGAACUGCAUCCAAAACUGGCGAGCUAGAGUAUGGUAGAGGGUGGUGGAAUUUCCUGUGUAGUGGUGAAAUGCGUAGAUAUAGGAAGGAACAUCAGUGGCGAAGGCGACCACCUGGACUGAUACUGACACUGAGGUGCGAAAGCGUGGGGAGCAAACAGGAUUAGAUACCCCAGUAGUCCCUGUCUCUUAUAC
rnacentral:rRNA from 1 species